GACAAACGCUGGCGGCGUGCCUAAUACAUGCAAGUAGAACGCUGAAGGAGGAGCUUACUUCUCUGGAUGAGUUGCGAACGGGUGAGUAACGCGUAGGUAACCUGCCUGGUAGCGGGGGAUAACUAUUGGAAACGAUAGCUAAUACCGCAUAAGAGUAGAUGUUGCAUGACAUUUACUUAAAAGGUGCAAUUGCACCACUACCAGAUGGACCUGCGUUGUAUUAGCUAGUUGGUGGGGUAACGGCUUACCAAGGCGACGAUACAUAGCCGACCUGAGAGGGUGAUCGGCCACACUGGGACUGAGACACGGCCCAGACUCCUACGGGAGGCAGCAGUAGGGAAUCUUCGGCAAUGGACGGAAGUCUGACUGAGCAACGCCGCGUGAGUGAAGAAGGUUUUCGGAUCGUAAAGCUCUGUUGUAAGAGAAGAACGAGUGUGAGAGUGGAAAGUUCACACUGUGACGGUAUCUUACCAGAAAGGGACGGCUAACUACGUGCCAGCCGCCGCGUAA
rnacentral:rRNA from 1 species